rnacentral:rRNA from 1 species
AACCAAGAAAUUUAGUCAUUCUUUUACGGUAAAAAGACAGUUAGGCUAAAAUGAAAAGUCAUUAGAUCUUUAAUAUAGGAGUAAAAUCUAAAUAUUAAAAGUUACUUCAGACAUGGCCUAUUUAAAAUGCUGAGUCUGUGACAACUUUAAGGGAAACUGGGAUUGGAUACCCCAUUAUUUUUAGUUGUAAAUUUAGUUUAAGCUUACCAGAGUACUACGAACUAAAAAGUUUAAAACUCAAAGGGCUUGGCGGUGUUUUAGACCUCUCAGGGGAACCUGUCUCAUAAUCGACAAUCCGCGUUAAACCUAACCCUCUAUGGCAAUACAGCCUGUAUACCGUCGUCGUCAGGUAACUUCUUAAAAUAUAUUAGUUAGCUCGAGAAUAUUAUUAAUUGAAACGUCAGAUCAAGGUGCAGCUAAUAAGAAGGUGAGGAUGGGUUACAAUUACAAAUUUGUAAUUAUGGAAAGGUACUUGAAACUUAAUACCAUGAAAGAGGACUUGAAAGUAAUUUUAAGUAUAUAAAUAAAAUGAAUAAGGCUCUGAAACGUGC